rnacentral:tRNA from 1 species
GGGAGUGUAGCUCAGUGAUAGAGUGUUUGACUGCGGAUCACGUGGUCCUUCGUUCAGAUCCAAGUGCCCCCU